rnacentral:rRNA from 1 species
AGCGAACGCUAGCGGCAGGCUUAAUACAUGCAAGUCGAGGGGUAGCAAGAUUGUAGCAAUACAAUUGUUGACGACCGGCAAACGGGUGCGGAACACGUACACGACCUUCCUACAAGUGGGGAAUAGCCCAGAGAAAUUUGGAUUAAUACCCCGUAACAUAGCGAUGUGGCAUCACAUUGCUAUUAUAGCUUCGGCGCUUGUUGAUGGGUGUGCGGCUGAUUAGAUAGUUGGCGGGGUAACGGCCCACCAAGUCUACGAUCAGUAGCUGAUGUGAGAGCAUGAUCAGCCACACGGGCACUGAGACACGGGCCCGACUCCUACGGGAGGCAGCAGUAAGAAAUAUUGGACAAUGGACGCAAGUCUGAUCCAGCCAUGCCGCGUGAAGGAUUAAGGUCCUCUGGAUUGUAAACUUCUUUUAUAAGGGACGAAAAAAGGUCUUUCUAGAUCGUCUGACGGUACCUUAUGAAUAAGCACCGGCUAACUCCGUGCCAGCAGCCGCAGUAAGAC